rnacentral:lncRNA from 1 species
GUUUGGAGCCGGGGAUUCACGCCCACAGCGUCACGUCCUUAGGGAUUUUCGGUCGAAAUUCCACCUGAAUGGGACAUGGAACACCUGCACAAACUGGAUAUUUGCCCUGUUACGUCUCAAAGGUUCCAGAGAUCAGACUCAAGUUGUCAGGCUUGUGGGCAAGCCUUCUCCUCAGGCAGCCGACUCACCACCCUUUGCAGAUGACUUUUAUGACUUUGAAUGAGCCAAAGACAAAUGAUGCUUGAGGUUCAUGACUGACUUUUCAUCUGCUGGAGACCACCAGUGCUGUCGAAUAGGCGGCAAAACAAGAAAGAGAGGCCUAGGGGCUGGGGAUUUAGCUCAGUGGGAGAGCGCUUACCUAGGAAGUGCAAGGCCCUGGGUUCGGUCCCCAGUUCCGGAAAAAAAGAACCA